UACGGAGGGUGCAAGCGUUGUUCGGAAUUACUGGGCGUAAAGCGUGCGCAGGCGGUUUUGUAAGCCAGAUGUGAAAUCCCCGGGCUUAACCUGGGAAUGGCAUUUGGGACUGCAAGGCUCGAGUGCGGCAGAGGAGACUGGAAUUCCUGGUGUAGCAGUGAAAUGCGUAGAUAUCAGGAGGAACACCGAUGGCGAAGGCAGGUCUCUGGGCUGACACUGACGCUCAUGCACGAAAGCGUGGGGAGCAAACAGG
rnacentral:rRNA from 1 species